CUACGGGGUGCUCCAGACGAGAAUAUUCCGCAAUGGGCGAAAGCCUGACGGAGCGACGCCGCGUGAUGGAUGAAGUGCUUUGGUACGUAAACAUCUUUUAUCGGGGAUGAAGUUAUUGACAGUACUCGAUGAAUAAGGGGCUCCUAACUCUGUGCCAGCAGGAGCGGUAAUACAGAGGCCCCAAGCAUUACCCGGAAUCAUUGGGCGUAAAGGGUGUCGAGGCGGCCAUAUUAGUCUUGUGUCAAAUCCGCGGGCUCAACCUGCGACCGGCAUGGGAAACGGUAUGGCUAGAGGGCGCGAGAGGUGCACGGAACUCAUGGUGGAGGGGUGAUAUCCGUUGAUAUCAUGGGGAACACCGAAUGCGAAGGCAGUGCACUGGCGCGUUCCUGACGCUCACACACGAAAGCCAGGGUAGCGAAUGGGAUUAGAUACCCUAGUAGUC
rnacentral:rRNA from 1 species